UGGUGGAAAAUCCUUAGUCACGUGCAAAUGGGAUGAUUACAGUGAGGUCAGACACAGUACUCUGUUUAUCUCUGGUGACUGUCUGCAGAGAAAGACUCAUUUGAAUAAAUCUCUUGUCUAUACUUUAUAUGAAACAGCACCAGUUGGUAAAGGCCACAUUCCUGGAGCACGCUUCACUGAAAAGCAUACAAUUUCAAGAGUACCAGAAUAACGGGAGACACCCCCUGCCCCGACACACCAGCAACACCAUGAAUCUACUGAAGCUAUAAGCAUGGCUGGUCUUUGUGAGGGGUUCCUGUACCUUUAGGCUGGCAACGUGGUCAUCUUCACCUGCACUGUUGGUUUGUCUGAGGUGGAGUCUGAAGCUUUCUCUGCUUUACAGGCCGAGUGUUCCCUCUCUCCAGAACUCCCACUCGGAGAAAGCUGCCAAGACAUUCCUCUGCCCAUUAGCGGAGUCGGGGAUAUCAGGAUUUGCAAGCCAGCUGGAGAAGGUUGAUGGCUCUCUGGCUGUUUUGAAGGCAAAAUGUUGUGUUAUUGUGUAAGAAGAGUAUGUGUCGUCCUUUUCGGGUCUCCGAAGUCCUAGGGACUCCGAGUGCUCUCAAGUUGCCCUUUAACUUCUGUUAAAGACUCUCCACUUGGAAUCUGGUGUCUCCCAUCGCCGGGGUCGUGGUCCCCCUUCCCCUCUAGUUCUGUGCAGAUCUGUAUCUCAGCAAACGUUUCUUUGUACAUGGGACACCACAGAGAGCUUGAGACCCUGGGUAGGAGGCGGCCCAUGCCUGUGAGAGCCUCACAGUGUUGUGCCCUUUCCCUGAGGCUCAGGUACACACACUCGGGGCCACAUGUCUCCAUGUUUCACAUUCUGCUUUAUUUCCACAGGGAUGGGGGCUGCUGCUUUUUAUGUGUUUGGAGACCGCAUCAUACAGUUACAGCUGCAAGUGAAAUGUUUAGCUCCUUUAACAAAGGGAAAUUACUCUCCCUGCUGACUUUCAGAGAGGAAAGAACUCUUGUAAAGAUGGGCUCAAACCGACCCAAGGGGCGAGUUCUCGUUGAACCAUAAGUAGUCUCCGGCCUCACAGAUCCUGCACCGGGCUGGGGAAGGGAACUCCGUGAUCUUAGGGCCAGUUCUCUCUUAACCUGCUCUCCCAGACACAGAAGACCUGGGUAUUGACUUUGGCAGCAAGGAACUGGCCCGUUGCCUGCAGCUCAGUGAAUGAAAUUAAAAUCUUGGAUGAAUGGGGAAAGGGAGUAUUUUCAACAUUAAUAGCAAUCAAACAGAUUUGUGCUCACUUAGAAUAAUUGGGAUGGCAGAGGAAAGACAGAGCCAUUUCCAAUGAGCCCCAAAGCACGAAGAAGUGAAUCAACACUACAAAGAGCCAUGACAUUGGUUUAUGGCCACCAUGGGUGGAAACAUUGAACUUCACUCCAGUUUUCCCUUAGUCUUAGUCAAGCCCAGGAGACAAGUCCUGAGUUCCCUGCUGUGUGCUGUGACCAAUCUUGUUCCUCUCUGGGGGCUGGGCAGAGCUCAUGGUUGAUUCCCUCAACAGCUAGACGGGUGCUCGUUUGAACUCGGCCUUAAGAAUACCAGCUCACUGUGCUCCCUGUCCUAAAAGGGAUUUCUUCAAAACCUUGUUCAUGAUAGUACCAACAUAUUUCCUCAGCCCUAGCAAUGGAUUUGGUACUCUGUCUUGCUCAAGGUGACAGACGUAUUGAAUGAAUCCAGGAAGGCUCAUGUGCCACUCUGCUGGGGACAUGAUGGGAGGGGUCGGGUAGCAGCCAUCCAUCUGCAGACUCUACAAUGGUUCUCAUCUAUUUCUGCCCCAGAACCUUGAAAAUUCUAUUGCCUUGGCAUCUCAGUUAAGUCUUCCAGACAGCCUCUCACACGAGGAACAAGCACAAAUCUCUCUUGUCAGAGCAUAUCCUACGUUUUGGUUUAAAAAAUGUCACUGUGGAUUAGCUAUAGGGGGGAAAAAGGAAGCAGAACUCCAGCCCUGACUUUUGAGGUGAGGCUGGGCUCUGGGGCUUGGUGGAGUGAGAACAGGGGGCCAAGAUAGUGGUUGGCACAAGGACAUGGAGAACUCUGGGGGCAGAGCCAGAGCCUCUGAGGACUGAGGCCCAGGAAAGCCUGGCACAGGGAAUAGCUGGGUAUUUAACCAGGAACACUCACUCAUUUUCCCUCAGCCUUGGCAGCAGGUCAGAGCAAGCUGUUCUAGAAGGGUCCACAUCCUUCCUAUUGUCCCCACCCCGACUUCACUCAUCAUCCCAAACAUCUGCUUCAAAUUUGAGCCCUUGCCUCCCUGCCCGAUUGCAUACUACUAAACCAUGAGGAGUGAGGGUGAAGGCAUGUCCGCAGGUGUUGGGUAAGGGAGGAGAGAAGGAAGGUUCUGGGUGAAUGAAGCUGCCCUGAGUUCUCUUUCAGAUGGUAGAGCGGAAUUGGAAGUUUGUGGGGUUUUUUGUCUUUGUUUUUGUUUUUAAUGCACCUAUGCCUCCAGAAUCUAGCCAGUAACUUGUUUCACUUCUGGGUAAAGGGAAUUGGGGCUAGCUGGGGGAAGGAAUUGGGACUAGCUGGGGAAGACUGGGCCACGGCAGGAACUAGUUUUCAGAGGCAGCGCAGCCAGUCCAGUGGGAGCCAGCUGAGGUGGUUAGUGCCCACAGCAAGCAGUGAGGUGCUAAUGGGGGCAUUAAACACCUCUCCCCGGCUGGCUCACACGCUCAGACAGACACAAGGGAGUCGCAACAGUGAGACUAGCCUGCAGCUGGGUUCCGGGAGGGAAGCAGCCAGAGGAGCUGUCCAUCACAGCAUCCUCAAAGGUUUCAUGAGGCAGAAGCUCUAAGUGUCUCCACCACUUGCCCCCAUCUCAGUCCAUUGCUAAGUAGCAGAAGAUAACCUAAAGGAAUUGUUUCAGAGCUGGUAUAAUAAUAGGUGACAUUUAAUGUGUGUUUAUGCCACACAGACCCUGUUCUUAACAUUUGACCUGUAUUAACUCUGUUCAUCUUCACUAUGUUUAUAAGGUGUUUAGUAUUUCCGUUUUGCAGAAGACUGAGGCACGAAGGAGUAAUCUAUCCAAGGUUACAUGCCUAUUAGAUGAAUCUUGGUGUCAGCUUGGUUCCAACACCUCACCUCACACAAGCUCAUGUGAGGUGGCUUGGGGGCAGAGAGCCAAGUCCAGAGGAUCCCUGCAAGGGAUCGGCCAGAGUGCUUGCUGUUCAUCCUCCGAGCAAGGUGGCAGACUGUGUGGGCCUCUGAUUCCUGGGUCCCUAGGGAGCCAGCCUGGUGGGCAUGUCCCCAGCCAAUCCUGCCACCCUGCAUCCCUGAGACGGCUACUGCCCAUUCAUGGCAGUGCUUGCAUAUUCUACUGCUCCUUCCAGGGCUUCGGACAUCCCUCCAUCUCUCAAUCCCCAAAUGUUUGGGGAAGAGCCUUAGACCAGUGUCCAGCUCCAGGCCCUUGUGAGAAAGGAAGAAAAGCAAAAGGCCAAGGGCUGGCCAAGCCGUGGGCUGCGGCUUCAAAGCCAAGGGGAGAAGCCAAGUCCAUCACUUGGCUGGAAAUGUGGGCGCCUCCAUGACAUACCAGCUCACCCUGGCAAUCCUCUCUCGUCUCACUGAGAACAAACCACAUGGGCAAUGACAGGCCACAGGCCUUUUCCAGUUGUCUUAGAACUCUGCCAGAGCCGUUUUUAUGUUGAAUCAGACUCUUUUCCCUAAGAGACAUGAAGUGCCAGAGAGUGCUCAGGGAGGCCUGUCUGAUGGGCCCCCAGAUCCUGGGACAGUUCCUCUGCAUGCAUGGCCGGCUAUUGGUGAAUGUCUGAACAAGCUCAAUUCAUGACUUCCACUAUGCACCUCCUCGAGCAAUGUUCCUGGGACUGUCCGUCCUCAACCUCCAAACCCAGCUUGUGUCAGAGGAUAUGAAGGGUUAGAGAAUCCAUGAAAAAGAGUGUCUUGACAUUUCUUUUUUAAAAGGUUAGAAGUCUGUCCAGCCUUCCUUGAUGGUCCUAGAGCAGUGGAGGCAAGAUCCUCUGAGGCAUCUGAACCUGUUCUUCCCAGCUGAGAACCGACUCAUCUACAGCUCCACGCUGGGGACUGGUAGGACGAUGAUCUUCCGUAUUUGUCUCCUUUUUUCACCUCCCUUCUCUCCAUUUGAGCUUUGUUAACAAGACGAGUCAGGAAGUAAACAAGGAAGUUCCUAGCAAAGGAGGAGCAUGCUGCAGAGAGACUCAGCAACCCACGUACAGGAGUAAACGGGGAAGCCAUUUAAGCAGCAAAAUAAAAUAAUGGUAAUGGUCUAUCAGGUUAUAAGCCACGGGAUCAAACAAAGGCCCACAAGACAUUACUGUAAUAAAUACUGAAGUUUUAGAAUGAAGAAAGACUACCUUUUUACUAGAAUUCCAUUAAUAAAUACAGGGGCUGGGGGAAAUUCAAAAUCACCAUUAGACAAACACAAGAGCAAUAAGGGUUUUAGGAAAGAGCCACCAGGGUACGAGGCUCAGUGGAAAACAGUUUAAAUGAAGUCAGUGGAGUUGCAGACUCCCCAGAUAUCUCCUCUGAGAUGUUUAUUAAAGAGACAAAGGUAGUAGUAGUUUUAGACUGAGCAGGGAAAAAAAAAUCAGCAGACACAAGCUUAACCAAACGAUCAGGAUUACCAUCCCCGGUGUUAAGACAUACUGACAUCUUGUACCCUUUGAGAUGGUGUCCUGGGAAGCGUCUAGGACCACAUCAGUGGCUUUUACAAUAAACAAACAAAUAAAGGCAGAACCUCAGUCUGAUUAGGAGAAAACAUCAGACACGCCCAAGUGAAGACUGCCAAGUGUCUGAAGAGUCAUCACUGGAAGAGUCAAGGUCAUAAAAGACAAGGACAGACAGCUGAGGAACCAUCACAGAGUGUAGGACAUUAAGACACUCAACAACUGACAUCAUGAGGGUUCUAGAGCAGAAAAAGGGCCCCCAGAGGGGAAGCCGAUGGCCCUGCAAAGGGUCUGUACUGUAGUUAAUAGUCUCAUGCCUAGGUUAACUUCCUGCUGUUCAUCUGUCAGUUGGACCGUGGCCAUGCAAGCCGCUAAUAUUCAGGGAGGCUGGGUGGUGUGUAUGAGAAUGCCCUGGGUUAAUUCUCGCAACUUUUCACUAAGUCUCCAGUUAUUUCAAAAUAGCAGAUGAAAUCACACCCUGAGUGAGUGCUUACUUCUUGCUGAACACAUGGGACUUAGAAGCUGAGUGUUUAGACAGCUGAUAGGAUUAGCCUUGCUUUUAAGUGUUGCUCAGAACUAAGCAUUUUUCAGAUUACCAGGGAUCAUCUUCAUAUACAGAUUGUGAUCCAGUAGGGAAAGCCCGAGAGUCUGCAUUUCUCACACACGUCUCCUGCUGGUGGUCCACAGACCACAUGGUGAGUAACGGUGGCAUGGUCUGUAGUGGGAUUGCAAAUUUUGCACAUACACAACCACACACACACACACACACACACACACAAAAGGCCCAAGAGCUGUGUGUGGAGAGCUGUGAGCACCCGUGGCUGAAGCCUGGGCUUAUCACCUGGAUUCUUUAGCAGCUCUGGGAACCCCAGGCUUUGAAUGUUUUCUGGCCUCAGCCCGGGUCUCAGAAGUGUUGGCCAGUUCUCUCUAGUCUGCCUCUGGCUACAGCCUGUCUAGCCUGGGCCAAACUGAGGUUCAGUGAAAAGGGACAGGUGCAGAGUUACAGACAUACUCAGAAAUUCCACUGGUGCCUGUGACAGCCAGGCCUAGGCCUGGGGAGCACACUUGUUCCCCUUCAGACCUCAGCCCGCCAGCAGCGAGCGGCCCAGCCUUCCCUGAGGCCUGCAUUUGAGCAGCUUCCAGACAAGAAGUGAUAGUGAUGACAUGUUGCUCCCUAGAGAUCCUCCAUUGCUCUCUAGGAUGUAAGAAUAUCCACAGACACGGAGUCAGACAACACAGAAAAGGCAAGUUAUUUCUACUAAUUAGUAUCUACAUAUGUGCAAAAAUGGUCAUAAGGCUGCAGAACCACUGGCACUUCACCAGUCACUGAAGCCGUGAUCUGCAGCGAUGCAUUUUUGUUCCAAGUGCUUGUGACAUCCCUUCUUCAUCCAGCGCUCCGCACAGCCACGGGGUUCCCAGAGCAUCCUCUCCUCGUGACCUCUCAGUGCGUCUGACGUCACUGUUGGUUUUCAUCCCAGGAAGAAGCAGGACAGGCCAUCAGGGUCCCUGCAGGUGAUCACCUCACCUUGUUUACUGAGACUUCAUGGAUGGGUUGUCACAUAUACUCACAAAAAGAGUACAGAGUGGGAAGAUGCGCAUGUUGACAAACGGGGCAGCUAGGGGUCUGGCUGACAGAUUUUGAUCACACAAGUGAGAUCCCAUGAUGGGGGUCACAGAAGGUUGGCUGAACCUCUAAGGAUGCUUGCCACAUGCCAGGUGUGUCUUAUGUGAACUUUUGACUGUGUCUGUUGUGGUUAUAUUAUGCAAUCAGCUGCCCAGCCUUGAAUUGUGUCCCAUCCCGUCCACCAGUGACUGUGGCUUCUGUGGGGUUGAAGCGUCUGCCUCUAGUUACUGAGGACUAAUGCAGUCUUGAGGCUCAUGGGUCCCUCUGUGUCCAUUCCUGCUAGGGCACCAAACACAGCUUCAUGAAGGCCAGACUUGUAGUUCAUAUGGAGCCAACUGGACGCUGGCCAGCCCUGCCCCUUGCCUCCUAGGGAUUCUUUUUUUUUUUUUAAACAUAAAAACAGGUUAUAAUUUAAAAGUCCAGGGUUAUUUUAAACAGUAAAAUAUUUUCUCUGUAGAAAAUAGUAUAAAUGAUAACAUUUCCCAAUAAGCCCUUUUAAGCCAAAUGAUAGCUGAAUUAUACAUAUAAAUGUUGAUUAGAUUCCGGGAUACAGAAGAGAUCUGUCUUUAUCUGUUCAGAGAGCUAUGUUUUACUUAAGUUGUGUAAGUGAGAUGCCUAUUCAUCUUCCCCUUCACUGUUUGAUUUACGGCAGACAUUUUUCUAUAGGCUAAUCCAUAAUCUAAAAAGAUUUUAGCCUCCCCUCCUGAAAAUACAGCCAGCAUAUUCUUCCAUCAGCUUGAUACGGUACAAAUUCUUAUCCUAAUAGUGAAAUGUUUCACUAAAGCUUGCCCAGUGAUUGGGUAACACCAAAAGUUAUUAUCAGCCACAGUAAUCCCAGGGUCCCCCCUGCUAGGUAGCCUCACCUCCUAGGGAUUCUUUUGCUGUUCUGUUUGACCCUGAUUCAGAAGACCUGAUGAAGCUCCCACCCCCUCAGGCUCUUGAGGUACCGAGUGCUUUCUUGGGUAGACCAGUUGGCCAAGAACGUGCCUCAAAAGAGAAGCAUGCUCUCACGGUCUAGGGAGGGGCCAUCUUCUGAUGUUCCAUGGUUGGGUUGUAGUAGACACAAGUAUCAUUUUCUACCCUAAAACAUUUCUCUUUUUCCUUUGCUCUUAAAAUUUUUUGUAUAUGUAUAUGUGUGUGUAUAUAUAUGUAUAUGUAUGUAUCACAUGCAUAUCUAUGAUAUACAUGCAUAUGUAGCACGUGGUACACAAGGAGGUCAGACAAAGGUAUUAGGUCCCCUGCAACUGGAGUUACAGACAGUUGCAAGCCACCAUGUGGGUGCUGGGAAUUGAACCUGGGUCCUCUAGAAGAGCAGAAGUGCUCUUAACCACUGAGCCAUCUCUCCAGCCCCUCUUUUGUUUCUUUUGUCCUCCUUCCGGGGUACAAUAGGACACGCUCCCUCCAGCCAUCCUCCCCUCCACCCCCAGCACGAUACCAUCUCCCUCCACCAUUUGAUCUUCUGUGUUCUUGUCGAAUCUUCACGGACAGCAGGGCAGGGCAGACGGUGCAGGCUUCUGGCUUGACUAUUUGGGCUCAGAUCCUGGCCCUGGCCCUGGGGAGUUGCACAUCCUUGCUGUGUCCUUCUUUCCUAUUUUCUGAGCCCAGUUUCAUCUUCUGUAAACGGGAGAGAGCAGAAAGAAUGUCUCUAUCUCGGAAUUGCUAUCAGGAUUAAAAGAGACAGUGCAUGGACUCAAUAACUGCUCCUUAUCAGUAACUACUGAUGUUAGCUCCAGUUAAGGCCUUGCUGUGUGCGGCACGGACCACGAGAACCAGGGGACUUGCUGAUGUGGUUGAAGAAAGAGGCCUCUAGGUGAUGAGCAGGAUAAUGCGUUGACUGUUGACUGGAUGCCAGGCCCUGGCUUAGAGGCUCCGCUCACAGCACUUCAGGCGUUGGGAACUCACAGUUAAUAGAAUGUGGAAAUGCAACAUGUCCUGAGGAAACUUGAAAUGAAGGACAAGAGGAAGUGCAUGGCGUUUGGUUUCCUUGUUUUCUCUUGGCUAGCAGUUAGGAGGACCGUCCGAUGAACUGGAAGAGAAAAGCACUCCCUAUUUCCUGGGAAAAUCUGACCAUCAGAAGGGCCGUGGUGCUGGCCUGAGCCCUUCCACUGGGACCUGAGCGGCUCACUCACCUCUUUCCACGAACGGACAUGAGGUCUAGAGCAAGACCUGUCACUGGGUGUCACCAUCUCUUUCAUUUGGGUCUUGAGAGCAGACACAGUCAGGUGUAGAGGCAGACAGGGGGCUUAAGCAGGAGGAUUCGAGUUUGAGGCCAGCCUGGGCUACAUAGCAACACUCUAUCUCAACAGAAACAAGGGGUAGGGAUACAGGUCAGGAGCAGAACACCUGCCUAACACACGCAGGGGUUUAAUCCCUAGCACUGCAAAGACAGAGAGGAGGGAGGGAGAGAGACUGGGAGAGGGAGAUGCAGGUCUGACUCCCAGUCAGUUUGAGUGGGCCAGGUGGCCUAGCGUCUCUGAGCAUCAUUCUCCAUAUCUGUGAAGGAAGGAAGGAUAACAAUCCAGAUCUCUUAUCCUUAAGGAUGAAAGAAAAUGAUGUGUAUUAAGAGCACAAAGGGCUGGGAAAGUAGCUCAGAUAUAAAGUAUUUGCCUUACAGGUGUAGGAUCUGAGUUCAGUCUCUACCUACCACCACCAUUAGAACACACACACACACACACACACACACACACACACACACACACACACACUUUAAGAAGUACAGCCAGUGGCUAUCAUUUUCCUUAUCCUAGGACCCAAAUAUUACAUUCCUAUUAAAGACCUAUAAUCUGUGUGUGCGCAUGCGUCAGCUUUGAGGUAGAACCUUGCUAAGGAGCUCAGACUGUCCUGAAACUCAUUUUGAAGCCCAGGCUGGCCUUGAACUUGCCGUCCUUUUGUCCCAACCACCCAAGUGCUAGGAUUACAGAAAUGCAUUUACCAUGCCAGGUUUUUAUAUUUUUAUUUUGUCUGUUUCUUCUAAGUUUCUAGAUAAGCUGCUUUUACGCCUUUAAGUGUAUGUGGUGUGUGUGUGUGUGUGUGUGUGUGUGUGUGUGUGCACAUGUGUGAGGUGUUCAUGCUGUUCAUACAUGAGGCCAGAGGAGGUCUCCAGCUCUGUCACUCUCCACCUUAUCCUCCUCAACAGGGUCUCUCAUGGAUCUACAGCUAGGGUGGUGGCCUGCAACACCCAGUAAUCCUCCUGUGUAUGUCCCCUCUUCCAGCCCUAGGGGGACAGGCCUGUGGCACACCUGGCUUUUAAUGUGGAUGCUGGGGAUUUGAACUCAGGUCUUCAUGCUUGAGCAGUAAGCACCCUUGCCCACUGAGCCAUCCUUCCAGCCCUCUGGUUAAGUUUCUCUUGAAAAAUUCUGACCAUGCCUCACUGAGUUCUGGGAAAGUGAGUCUGUCCAUCCCAAGAACAGGAAGUGAGGGGCUGCCUUUUGUGCCCAGCCACUGGAAAUAUGGGGAAAGAGAGUCAACGAAGAAAAACCAAGAAGUGAGCUAUUUGGGACUGUGGUAAACAGUUAUUUCGUUCUUUUCUCAAUCAAGAGUGUCACCUCUUGGUCUUGUUUUCUUAACAAAUUAUGAGCUUCUUGCUUAGUAUCAUCCUUUGCCUCAAUGUCUGUCUGUAAACUAGGAAUAACAAUGCCAUCAGCUGCGUCAGGCGGUUGUGGGGAUUCAAUGAGAUAAUACACAGAAGUGCUGAGCUCCAAAGCCGGGCAAAGACAUUCCUGGUCACUAUUGUACGGUGUCCAGAAUGCUGGCCACAUUGCAGGACAAACAUUGAGGUUCCUGAAUCCUAGUCCCCACCCCCAGGAGCUGCCAUUCCAGCCGACUCCCUGCAGUCCACCCAAUCCAGUCCUCCACAGCCGCUGGAGGUGGAAGGGAGCUGCAGCUGUCUGCUUGGGGACUCUGAAUUCAUUCUGGCCCUUAGCAUCAGUGUGGACGAGCCAGGCGGCAGCCAUGAUGAGGAAGACAGCAGCUGGGCGAUGACUGCCAGAGGCCCCCGAGCACAGGACACCAGCCGUCCCUCAGAGAAGCGGCUGUCGGCCCAGGCUCUUGGCUCAAAUACCUUGUGAAAUUUGACUUCCUCUCUCCUUUCUCCUCUUAAAAGAGAAUGACCUUCCCAUCCCAGGUCCUCAAUGCCCACUAUCUAGCAUGACCUUUAACCUAUUAACGGGACUGAGAACGUUUAGAAGCCCCACCAUCAGGUACUCCAUUUUGGAACUCAAAGGUUCCCUCUCAAGGUCCUUAUUUUCUUUCCUAUCCCUGUUAGGAGUAACCAUGGUGAUGUAAGUUUUUAUUUCCUCAUCCAGUUGUUUCUACACCCCUGAGUGUCCCUCUGUAGCCUCGGGGGAUUGGUCCCAGGACCCUCUGCAGAUACCAAAAGCCCAAGAAGCCCAAUCUCUUCUAUCAGAUGGCAUAGAACCUACUUGAAAUCACCUCUGGAUUUCUUACAAUGCCUAAUAUAAGGUAAGUGUUAAUUAAACAGUGGUUAUACUCAAUUAUUAAGGAGCCAUGACAGUGGGAAAAGUCUGUACAUAUUCAAUCCAGAUGCAAUUUUCAGUCUGUCGAUAGUCGAAUCCAAGGAUGUUGGGUCUGUGGAUACAGAAAGCCAACAGUAGCCCUUGCAUCCCAUUUUUACAGAAAAGGAAGCCAUCUCAGAGAGCCCAAGAGCUUUGCUGAAGAUCAUGCAGCUAGAGAGGGAGCCGCUAGACCUAAUUCAAGGUUUCAGAUACCUGCUCCCUGUUCUGUGCCUUCUUCCCCUGGGGGAGGGCGGCAGGUGCUCUGUGCUCACAGAGCAGUGUGCCUCAUGAGGGCAGAAGGGAGAGGUGGGAAGAACAGAGGCUGUGAUUAUGCCUGUGUGCCUCAGGCUAGCUUUGGCUGAUGAAAACUGCCUUCCAGAACCCCAGAGAUUCUUCCUGCAGCUCUUCAUGAUCUGGCAAUUGCCUCUGGGUCCUCCUUGAUCUUUAGAACCUUCCUUCCAGCCAGACCUGCUGGGUCCUUGAACAUUUGCAGGCUGUGAAGGGGUCUGUAAUGCCUGUUCCAGCUGUCUCCAGUCUGGGGCUCUUUACUUGCUGUCUCCAGGCUGGUAGCUGCAGACAGGCCAGUUAGGGGUCUCCAGAGAGGCCAGACCCUGGCUAGUUAGAAGAGGACUGCCUGGGGUUGGGUCAGAAGAUUCCAGCCUAUUCUGGUAGCUGACAGAGCCUUAGCUCAGACUCUUGAAGAUUUCUACUUCCUGGGACUGAAGUUGUUGAUCUAUCCCAGGCCCUCUUCCCCAGACCCCUUUCCCUUGCACCCUGGCUUUGAGGUCCAGCUGACGACUCUGUUUUCCAGCCUUGACUGUCCUGAUAGACAAGUAGUAGCUGUGGUUAUCAGGAGGCGCCGCUGUUCCUUGAAGCUUGGGAAAAUACCCUGCACUUGACCUUGACCCCCGGGUGAAGAAGAAUGUCAAGGCUGGAGCUUGAAUGGGGUCUGCUGUCCUGGCAGGCUGCCUGUCUAUGCCUUGGGCUUCUGCUGAGGACGCCGGAUCGGAGGAAGGGAUGGACCCUCUUGCCGCUCUGCUUGUUUUCCCCUGUCCUGCUGGUGCUGGGAAGAGCUUUCCUUUGCUGCCCUUUACAUGUUGGGCAAUUUCCACCUGCUUUCAGCACAUUACUGCAGGUGUGACAUGGGCGAGGCCUGCCUCCUUCCUGACUCUGAGCUCAUGACUCUGCUCUCCUUGGGUUGGUCAUUUACUGUGGCUUACCCAGCUUGGUACACAGAUAUAGCCUCCUGACUUCCCUGACACCACUCUACUGAAAUCUCUCUCUCUCUCUCUCUCUCUCUCUCUCUCUCUCUCUCUCUCUCUCUCUCUCUCUCUCUCGAGUCUUACAUACUCUGGCUCUCUGUCUGGGGUCUUUCUGCUUGGGCAUUUUUAGCUAACAUGAGCCAGGAUGAAGGUCUACAGGCAGGCUUUGGACAGGGUGAACAAAAAGUGCUGGUGAACCCCCCCCUCCAAGUCUGGACGAGUUCCCCUCAAGCCAUCAUGCCUGCCCUUUGUCUUUUAGGGAAAUAUUAAAAUCAUCCUAGAUUAACAAGAGUUCAACCAGGAUUUUUAGAUACAUCUGCCUUCACCUCACUUUGAACAAGGGGAAAUAUCAUGAACCUUUUUUUACCAUGAACAUCUCUUACUGCCCUCAUGCCCCUCACACACUCAGAUGCUAAUCCUCUGUGAGCUGAAAUCUUUCCCACUCAGUUCCAGUCAACACGCCUUAACACUAGCCUCAGUUACAAGAAAACCACAUAGAGACGAUGUCUUGGUAAACAUGGAAACCUGAUAAAGUGCCCUAUGUCUCCUUUUUCUCUGGGUUGAGGGGCUUCCAGACCUUUCUUCUUGGGUUCUAUAUAUUGCCCACCCUGGCUGCUGCUUCACACCUUCCUUUGGGGUUGUCCCAAGUUUCCUGACUCCUGUCUGGAACUCCAGGGCUGAGCCGAGCAUUGCAAUCCCUCUGUGGGCUGUGAAAUCACUGAAGUGAGUCACGACCGGCAUUAAAAUGCAGAACAGAAGAGAGGUAAUAGAAAGCAUGAGAAUAUGCCUCCCAGUGAACAAGGACGCCUCAUUUCAGUUAUUAUGUGUCCCUGUGUGUCCAGCCAUGCUGUAAGAUGGGCUUCCUGCUGUGAAUUGUGGUUAGAAGUUUGAAAAACACUGCUUUCAGCUGGCCUGUGCUGCUGGUGAUGUUUGUGUAUGGGACGGUUACUGUUCACUGUCAACUUGACGAGGUCUGGAACCAACCUUGGAGGGAAGCCUGCAGGCACACCUCUUCUGGAUUAUUUAGAUUAGUUUUGGUUUGGAGAACUCCUGCCACGGAUUAUCUUGAUUAGGUUAUUGGAGGUGGGAGGACCUGCCUUGAAGGAGGCCCACAUUGUCCCCUGAGCUUGGUUCCCGGACUGCAUAGAACAGAUGAUGAGCAGAAGCACUCAUCGUUCCUUGCUUCCUGACUUCAGAUGCAAAGUGACCAGCUGCUACAAGAUCCUGCCGCCAUGACUCACCUGCCUUCAAACUAUGAGCCCAAAUCAAUCCUUUCUCCUUUAAGUUGCCUUUGUCUAAACAUGCGGUCCCAGCAAAGGAAGAGUAGCUAGCCCACGUGGCAGUGGCAAUGCCGUCAUCUCCGACUCCUUGGGCCCUGGGACUCUUUCAGGGUACAGCAGAGAAGGCAAAAUGGAACAGCCCGUCCCCCGGGAGCAUUAUGGGGUGGCUGGUGGGGAAGGCAGCUGGUUCCACGGCUCCUGAAGUCUUUCUUCAUUGUAAGGUUCUGCUGAGGCUCCACCUUUCCACUUACAGAGGAAGGACCUGUAAAAUAUUGGAACUCUGUAAAUGGGAGGAUCCAGGUCCCUGAGGCUCAUAUGAACAAGGGCAAGAACAAACUUGUAAGGCUGGGUAUUGAACCCUGGCCUCAAGCAUGCUAGACAAGGGUUCCGCCACUAAGCUGCACACCUAGCCCUGGUUCGUUUUUUGUUGUGUUUUUUUGUUUUUGUUUUUUUUGAGACAGGGUUUCUCUGUGUAGUUUUGGUGGCUGUCCUGGAUCUCGCUCUGUAGACCAGGCUGGCCUCGAACUCACAGAGAUUCGCCUGGCUCAGCCUCCCAAGUGCUGGGAUUAAAGGUAUGUGCCACCACCACCCGGCUGUUUUUUGUUGUGUUUUAUUUUAUUUUAUUUUGUUGUUUGUUUUUAGACAGGUCUCACUAUAACUCUGGCUGGCUUGGGAUUUGCUAUGUAGACUAGGCUAGCUUCAAACUCUCAAAGAUGCACCUUCCCCCGUCUCCUGAGUGCUGGAAGUAAAGGCAUGUGCCACCACACUUGGCCUUAGUUGUCAGCCUGUUCUGACUAAUGUAAAACCCAGAACAAGGGAGUUUCCUUCUUGCCCAAGAGUCUACAAACACUUGUGUGUAGUCAGAAUCUGCUCACAAACAGUUUUCUUCUCUGGCCUCUCAGUCCUUCCUCUGGGUUGCAUUUAUCUCCAUUUGGCCACCUCCCCUUAGACAUGUCUCUUAUAAUAUGCCAUUAUUAUAGUAUAGUAGUGUAAAACUUCCAUUGCAUCUGGAUAGUUUGGAGAACACUGUCAGUCUCUGU